rnacentral:rRNA from 1 species
GCAAGGACAUGUGGAGCGCUUAGAAGUGAGAAUGCCGGUGUGAGUAGCGAAAGACGGGUGAGAAUCCCGUCCACCGAUUGACUAAGGUUUCCAGAGGAAGGCUCGUCCGCUCUGGGUUAGUCGGGUCCUAAGCUGAGGCCGACAGGCGUAGGCGAUGGAUAACAGGUUGAUAUUCCUGUACCACCUAUAAUCGUUUUAAUCGAUGGGGGGACGCAGUAGGAUAGGCGAAGCGUACGAUUGGAUUGUACGUCUAAGCAGUGAGAUUGAGUGUUAGGCAAAUCCGGCACUCUUAAGAUUGAGCUGUGAUGGGGAGAGGAAAUUGUUUCCUCGAGUCGUUGAUUUCACACUGCCGAGAAAAGCCUCUAGAUAGAGAUUAGGUGCCCGUACCGCAAACCGACACAGGUAGUCAAGAUGAGAAUUCUAAGGUGAGCGAGCGAACUCUCGUUAAGGAACUCGGCAAAAUGACCCCGUAACUUCGGGAGAAGGGGUGCUCUUUAGGGUGCAAGCCCAGAAGAGCCGCAGUGAAUAGGCCCAAGCGACUGUUUAUCAAAAACACAGGUCUCUGCUAAACCGUAAGGUGAUGUAUAGGGGCUGACGCCUGCCCGGUGCUGGAAGGUUAAGAGGAGUGGUUAGCUUCUGCGAAGCUACGAAUCGAAGCCCCAGUAAACGGCGGCCGUAACUAUAACGGUCCUAAGGUAGCGAAAUUCCUUGUCGGGUAAGUUCCGACCCGCACGAAAGGCGUAACGAUUUGGGCACUGUCUCAACGAGAGACUCGGUGAAAUCAUAGUACCUGUGAAGAUGCAGGUUACCCGCGACAGGACGGAAAGACCCCGUGGAGCUUUACUGUAGCCUGAUAUUGAAAUUCGGCACAGCUUGUACAGGAUAGGUAGGAGCCUUUGAAACGUGAGCGCUAGCUUACGUGGAGGCGUUGGUGGGAUACUACCCUAGCUGUGUUGGCUUUCUAACCCGCACCACUUAUCGUGGUGGGAGACAGUGUCAGGCGGGCAGUUUGACUGGGGCGGUCGCCUCCUAAAAGGUAACGGAGGCGCUCAAAGGUUCCCUCAGAAUGGUUGGAAAUCAUUCAUAGAGUGUAAAGGCAUAAGGGAGCUUGACUGCGAGACCUACAAGUCGAGCAGGGUCGAAAGACGGACUUAGUGAUCCGGUGGUUCCGCAUGGAAGGGCCAUCGCUCAACGGAUAAAAGCUACCCCGGGGAUAACAGGCUUAUCUCCCCCAAGAGUUCACAUCGACGGGGAGGUUUGGCACCUCGAUGUCGGCUCAUCGCAUCCUGGGGCUGUAGUCGGUCCCAAGGGUUGGGCUGUUCGCCCAUUAAAGCGGUACGCGAGCUGGGUUCAGAACGUCGUGAGACAGUUCGGUCCCUAUCCGUCGUGGGCGUAGGAAAUUUGAGAGGAGCUGUCCUUAGUACGAGAGGACCGGGAUGGACAUACCUCUGGUGUACCAGUUGUCGUGCCAACGGCAUAGCUGGGUAGCUAUGUAUGGACGGGAUAAGUGCUGAAAGCAUCUAAGCAUGAAGCCCCCCUCAAGAUGAGAUUUCCCAACUUCGGUUAUAAGAUCCCUCAGAGAUGAUGAGGUUAAUAGGUUCGAGGUGGAAGCGUGGUGACACGUGGAGCUGACGAAUACUAAUCGAUCGAAGACUUAAUCAA